CGAAGGUGGCAAGCGUUACUCGGAAUUACUAGGCGUAAAGGGCAGGUAGGUGGUUUGGUUAGUCUGUUGUGAAAGCUCCCGGCUUAACUGGGAGAGGUCAACGGAUACUGCCAGACUUGAGUAUAGGAGAGGUUACUGGAAUUCCCGGUGUAGCGGUGAAAUGCGCAGAGAUCGGGAGGAACACCAAUGGCGAAAGCAGGUAACUGGACUAUUACUGACACUCAGCUGCGAAAGCUAGGGGAGCAAACAGGAUUAGAUACCCUGGUAGUCCUAGCUGUAAACGAUGCACAUUAGACGUGAGGGGUAUCGACCCCCUUCGUGUCGACGCUAACGCAUUAAAUGUGCCGCCUGGGGAGUACGGCCGCAAGGUUG
rnacentral:rRNA from 1 species